AUUGAACGCUGGCGGCAGGCCUAACACAUGCAAGUCGAGCGGAUGAAGGGAGCUUGCUCCUGGAUUCAGCGGCGGACGGGUGAGUAAUGCCUAGGAAUCUGCCUGGUAGUGGGGGAUAACGUCCGGAAACGGGCGCUAAUACCGCAUACGUCCUGAGGGAGAAAGUGGGGGAUCUUCGGACCUCACGCUAUCAGAUGAGCCUAGGUCGGAUUAGCUAGUUGGUGGGGUAAAGGCCUACCAAGGCGACGAUCCGUAACUGGUCUGAGAGGAUGAUCAGUCAUACUGGAACUGGGACACGGUCCAGACUCCUACGGGAGGCAGCAGUGGGGAAUAUUGGACAAUGGGCGAAAGCCUGAUCCAGCCAUGCCGCGUGUGUGAAGAAGGUCUUCGGAUUGUAAAGCACUUUAAGUUGGGAGGAAGGGCAGUAAGUUAAUACCUUGCUGUUUUGACGUUACCAACAGAAUAAGCACCGGCUAACUUCGUG
rnacentral:rRNA from 1 species